rnacentral:rRNA from 1 species
CAGCCGCCGCGGUAAUACGGAGGGUGCAAGCGUUAAUCGGAAUUACUGGGCGUAAAGCGCACGCAGGCGGUCUGACAAGUCAGAUGUGAAAUCCCCGGGCUAAACCUGGGAACUGCAUUUGAAACUGUCAGGCUGGAGUCUUGUAGAGGGGGGUAGAAUUCCAGGUGUAGCGGUGAAAUGCGUAGAGAUCUGGAGGAAUACCGGUGGCGAAGGCGGCCCCCUGGACAAAGACUGACGCUCAGGUGCGAAAGCGUGGGGAGCAAACAGGAUUAGAUACCCCUGUAGUCCCUGUCUCUUAUAC